rnacentral:rRNA from 1 species
UCGAACGAGGUCCAGCCGAGCCUUCGGGCAAAGCGAAGAUCUAGUGGCGAACGGGUGCGUAACACGUGAGGAACCUGCCCCGGACUUGGGAAUAACAGUCGGAAACGGCUGCUAAUACCGAAUAUCUCCGUAGCGUCGCAUGGCGCAUCGAAGAAAGCUUUUGCGGUCUGGGAGGGCCUCGCGGCCUAUCAGCUUGUUGGCGAGGUAACGGCUCACCAAGGCAUCGACGGGUAGCUGGUCUGAGAGGAUGAUCAGCCACACUGGGACUGAGACACGGCCCAGACUCCUACGGGAGGCAGCAGUGGGGAAUAUUGCACAAUGGGCGAAAGCCUGAUGCAGCAACGCCGCGUGCGGGAAGAAGGCCUUAGGGUUGUAAACCGCUUUCAGCAGGGAAGAAACUGACGGUACCUGCAGAAGAAGGUGCGGCCAACUACGUGCCAGCAGCCGCGGUGACACGUAGGCACCAAGCGUUG